rnacentral:rRNA from 1 species
UAAUUCCAGUAUACAAUAGGCGUAUUUUAAAGUUGUUGUGGUUAAAAAGCUCGUAGUUGAACCUUGGGCCUGGCUGGCCGGUCCGCCUCACCGCGUGUACUGGUCCGGCCGGGCCUUUCCCUCUGUGGAACCCCAUGCCCUUCACUGGGUGUGGCGGGGAAACAGGACUUUUACUGUGAAAAAAUUAGAGUGCUCCAGGCAGGCCUAUGCUCGAAUACAUUAGCAUGGAAUAAUAGAAUAGGACGUGUGGUUCUAUUUUGUUGGUUUCUAGGACCGCCGUAAUGAUUAAUAGGGACAGUCGGGGGCAUCAGUAUUCAAUUGUCAGAGGUGAAAUUCUUGGAUUUAUUGAAGACUAACUACUGCGAAAGCAUUUGCCAAGGAUGUUUUCAUUAAUCAGGAACGAAAGUUAGGGGAUCGAAGACGAUCAGAUACCGUCGUAGUCUUAACCAUAAACUAUGCCGAC